UGGGGAAUAUUGGACAAUGGGCGGAAGCCUGAUCCAGCAACGCCGCGUGAGGGAUGACGGCCUUCGGGUUGUAAACCUCUUUCAGUACCGACGAAGCGAAAGUGACGGUAGGUACAGAAGAAGGACCGGCCAACUACGUGCCAGCAGCCGCGGUAAUACGUAGGGUCCGAGCGUUGUCCGGAAUUAUUGGGCGUAAAGGGCUCGUAGGCGGUUUGUCGCGUCGGGAGUGAAAACAGCGGGCUUAACUCGUUGCUUGCUUUCGAUACGGGCAGACUAGAGGUAUGCAGGGGAGAAUGGAAUUCCUGGUGUAGCGGUGAAAUGCGCAGAUAUCAGGAGGAACACCGGUGGCGAAGGCGGUUCUCUGGGCAUUACCUGACGCUGAGGAGCGAAAGUGUGGGGAGCGAACAGGAUUAGAUACCCUGGUAGUCCACACCGUAAACGUUGGGCGCUAGGUGUGGGGUCCUUUCCACGGAUUCCGUGCCGUAGCUAACGCAUUAAGCG
rnacentral:rRNA from 1 species